GCGGGCCGGUCACCAGGGCCGUGGUUUCCCGGGGCCGUUAGCGGCCGGCGGGGCCACUGCCGCCACCUCCCGGCGGCGCGGUGCCGGAGCGCAGCUCCCACCAACCCGGCGGUCUAGCUGCAGCAACAGCGCAAGGAAACGUGCUGCCGACCUCGAACACAGUGGUUCUGUUUUAACGGGGAGGCAGGUGGAGAGAAGUGGAAAAGAGCAAAGCAACAGCAAAGGACCACUGUGAGAAAGAGGGCAAGAGCAAGGAAUGGGAAUGGCAAGCAGCAUGAGACGUGUGGAAUAAGCAUUCCCCUGUACAAGGUCCACUUUGGCCUCUGGGAGCUGGGACCACAGCCUGUGCGUGGAGCUGAGCUGUACAAUGCUUUGUGGACUGCGCUCUACAAUCCCACGCAGGAGGUGGUGGAUGCUCUUUAGCUUUUGACCAUGAAAGCUAUCAGCCUGAAGGAAGGGUUUGUUUUUGUUGCUGAGCUGCCAAAAGUGGCAGCCAAAAGGAGUCAAAGGAUGCAAGUUUGGGAGCAUCUUUAGCCACCCGUCCAUCACCAGUCAUUUAAUUGGCUUAUUGUUUUUAAUCAAAAAAACCUCUUAUUAAUCAUCUACCUCUUCC